GAUGAACGCUGGCGGCGUGCCUAAUACAUGCAAGUCGAGCGAACAGACGAGUAUGUUGCUCUUCUGACGUGAUCGUCGUAUGGGUGAGUAACAGGUGGAUAACUUACCUAUAAGACUGGGAUAACUUCGGGAGACCUGACCUAAUACAGGAGAAUAUAUUGAACCGCAUGGUUCAAUAGUGAAAUACGGCUUUGCUAUCACCUAUAGAUGGAUCCGCGCCGCAUUAGCUAGUUGGUAAGGUAACGGCUUUCCAAGGCAACCAUGCCUAGGCGACCUGAGAGGGACAUCGGCCACACUAGAACUGAGACACAGUCCAGACUCCUACAGGAGGCCGCAGUAGGGAAUCUUCCGCGAGGCGCGAAAGCCUGACGGAGCAACGCCGCGUGAGUGAUGAAGGUCUUCGGAUCGUAAAACUCUGUUAUUAGGGAAGAAGUAAUGUGCAAGUAACUAUGCACGUCUUGACGGUACCUAAUCAGAAAGCCACGGCUAACUACGUG
rnacentral:rRNA from 1 species